CCUUUUGUUGGCGUGAAUCAUCAUGGACAAUCAAUACUGCUUGGUUGUGGUUUGGUAUCCAAUGAGGACACAGAUACUUUUGUGUGGCUAUUUAGGACAUGGCUUCAGUGCAUGAAUGGUCAAGCUCCAUAUGGAAUAAUUACCGAUCAAGACAGUGCCAUCCAAAAUGCAAUUCAGAUUGUUUUUCCAAAUACAAAGCAUAGAUGGUGUUUGUGGCACAUUAUGAAGAAGUUACCUGAAAAGUUUGGCUAUCACGUUGAUAAGGGUUCGAUAUUUUCGGCUAUACACGGAUUAGUAUAUGAUUCACAGAUGGUUGAAGAAUAUGAAGAAGGUUGGAGAUCAAUGAUCAAUACGUAUGACUUGCAUAAUAAUGAUUGGUUAUCAGGAUUGUAUGAGAACAGAGAUUGUUGGGUUCCUUGCUUUUUGAAAACUACUUUUUGGGCUGGGAUGUCAACAACUCAACGAAAUGAGAGUAUGAAUGCAUUUUUUCAUGGGUAUGUGCAUCCAAAGACCUCAUUGAAGCAAUUUGUCGAACAAUAUGAACGAGCACUAAGGAAUAAGGUUGAAAAGGAGUUUCAGGCCGAUUUCAAGUCAUUCUUGCAAAUGGUACCAUGUGCAACAAAGUAUGAAAUGGAGAAGCAAUUUCAAUCAGUUUACACCAUUUCAAAAUUUAGGGAAGUUCAAGAUGAGUUUACAGGGAAGAUUUAUUGUGACCUCAUAUCUGUUUCGGAGGGAUGUUUUGGGACGACAUACGAGGUACGGGAGGAUGUCAUGCAUGACGAGCGACGGAAGAAAAAAACAUUUUUUGUCUCAUUUCAGAAAGAAAAAUGUGAAAUUAUUUGCAGUUGUCACUUAUUCGAGUUUCGAGGAAUAAUUUGUAGGCAUGCAAUUGCAGUCUUGAUCCGUAACGACGUGACAUCAUUGCCGGAAAGGUAUAUAUUGCGAAGAUGGAGGAGAGAUAUUAGUAGAGCACACACAAGGGUCGCAGUUAAUUACGAUGGGUUGGUUAGUACUCCUGAACAAUUGAGAUAUGACAAUAUGUGUGAGGCAUUCGCUAGGGUGGCGGACCUUGCUGCAGAUGAUGAAGGGCUGACCCGUAUGAUAAUGGACUGGAUAGAAUUUCAAUCUAAAGAGCUUGUGAUGACAAAGUCGAGUAGUGGAAGCAAUGCCCUUUUGUAGUAUACUGUUUAGUUAGCCCCAGUGUAUGGUUUUGCAAAAUAUUGUGAAAUGAUAUUGUUAUGUCACAAUGAUAUUGGAUGGGCAUCCCUUGCUUAGUUUACUAUUGCAAUUCACAGCUUGUGUAAUGAUCUGAGAAAUCUUGCAAAUGAUAUUGUUAUGUCAUAAUGUGUUAUUUUAUCCUCAGUCAGAGCACAAUUUGAAUGAAGAUUUUGUUAGCAAGAUAGUAUAAUGUUGGGAUGAAUUUUCUGGAACAUCAAUAUGUGCUAAGGUUUUAUCUUCAUGUUAUUAACGUAAUCUCCACGAGAAUUGUGUACGGGAGUUGAUUCCAAGUAUCUUGCUUUUUCUUAACUGAGUGAGCAAAACAAUGUCAUAUGAUGGCUUUUUCAUGCUACUCAGUACACAUUUACCACUGCAUUGCCAGCAGGUUUGUAGCACAAUUGUAAUGCUAGAAGUGAUGCUAGAGAUUGUGUACCUGGAAUUGACCAGGUCUGUUGCAGGGCACUUUGUAAUAUAUGGUGUGUGUGAGAGAAAGGAAUUUGGAUUUAUUGGACUCUUACGACUCAUACACGAAAUUUGUCAUAACCAGAAAUUGUCCACCUUGCUAGGUGGGACAACUAAAACAUCAAAUCUCUAGUUUCUAGACGACUCCAUAGUUUCAACAGGUAUAUACUCUUGCGAUAAAUUGUCUUUCC
rnacentral:lncRNA from 1 species